GGACAGAGAAUACUCCGUCUUCUCUCUUCUGCAGGUCAAAGCAAGAAGCCAAAUCCCUAAUCCCCAAUUCUUUCCCUUUCCUCGCCGUCUUCUUCUUCUCUCCUUCUUUCCUUCUCUGCAUCCUAUAGAUGAAUACCCUUUCGAGUUUGGAUUCAAAAUUUGACAAUCGCACCUACUGUCUCCCUGUUGUUCAACGAAGACAGAUUUUUCAGUCCCAUCUUCGUAUAAAACUCCAAGUUUAUUGAACAAACACAAAUCCUACGGCUGUGUUUGAAUUUGUAAGUUAAUCGGACGGUAUAGAUCAUCAUUCAUACGGAUUGAGGUUUGAAAUUGUGUUCCUCUUCUUUCCCCUCAUCCUCCGAUGAAGUCUUUAAAGCCAAACCAUUUCUCCUUCCCUCUCCGUUGUGCAUCUGCUUUGUUCUUCCGGGUGUUAGUGAUUGAAGAAAGGUUUGCUGUUGUUUCAAGAAAUCAGAGCCGGUGUGAGAUCUGAGUUUAUUCUUCAUCUAGGGUUUUGAGGGUUUUGAUGAUGAGAGCAAUUGUGUGACGGGCUUGUCUUGCUCUCAAGAAAUCAGUUAGUUUUUUUUUUCUCACGAUUAUAUGAUUCCCUGUACCUAGGGUUUUGUUUCUCACGAUUUUCUACUUUGUUUGGAGAGAUGUGCAAAUGAAAGAGGAGUUGUAAUCACAUGGAGUUGUUUGUCUAACGGGUCCUCUUUCUCUCUCUUCAUACCCAUCAUGAACUCAUUCUUUUCUUGAAAAAUAAAAAAAAAGAAAAAUUGUUUCUUGUACCAGAUCGAUCAUCUGAACACACAAAUGGCUGAUGAUAAGGAAAUGUCCACAAAGGUUGUUGAUGGAAACGGAGCUGAAACCGGUCACAUCAUAUCUACCACAAUCGGCGGCAACAAUGGAGAACCAAAGCAGUUUAUGACUCAAAUACACCGGUUCACCUCACAUAAGUUUUGUGAGAGAGAUUGGGGUAUAAUGUGUUUCCGGUGAAGUUACGCCUCGCAUCCCCGCUGUGAACAUGAGCUGUACGAACACCUCAAGUGUCGCUGCCAUGUUAAUUCCACCGUAAACUCCUCGACACGGUUUCUGAUCUGCGACUCAGGGUGCAUACAAUUCAGGGUUGUUCGUCUUGUGGUGUUUACACGGAUCCUAAACAUUUCAGGAUUUAACCAUCAUGGUAGCUUGUGAACAUACUUUUUGAAAUGAAUAAUAGACAGGUCUGGUACGGGUCAAACGGAUGAGAUAACUAAUUGCUGCAAAAGUCAUCUAUACAUAUCAGGGGAAGAUGAUGUAUAGAAUCGUAAGUUAAACUGAGUUCCCUGAUUUUGGAGAGUAACGGAAAAGGAGUAUCCAUAGACGGUGUUCGCCUUCAUUUUGAAGAUGGUGAAAUUGAUUUUGGUGAACCGGGAACAAACGGUCAACACAGUUUUUACCAAUUAAUUCAUCAGGGGCGUGUUAUUCCUUGUGAUUUUUUUGGUAUCAUGGAAAGUCAACAACCCGUCUACCUUAAAGAUGAAGUGGUAAAUAACCAUGAUGAGCUCAUGUCCAAUUUUUUGCAAAACCUGAUGCUCUUGCUUAUGGGAAGGUGUUCAGAUCAUAUGGAUGGGUGCUUCUUGCAAUAAUCUCAUCUUUGCUAUUGACAUCAGGACCCAAAGCAUUUCUCAUGGAAUUAGCUAUCCGAUGGGCCAACCCGCACUUUCUUUGUUGUUCAAACCGUUUGGGGGAGGCCAAGAACGAAGACAAGGCGGCGAGGCAAGAGCAAGAGGAAACGACUACGACAACCACCACAUGGUGCCAAUUAUUUGGAGAUAGACGAUCAACAAGAAGAGUAUGUAGAUGGAGAUAGGAAGAGGGCAACAGGGUAUCAAACAUGGGUUGCUAGCGAUGGGUCAAGUGGUGGAAAUCCAAUGGUUCAUCAUCAAGUUUUGGUGGCUGGGAAGAACGGGAUGAAAUAAGAACAAGAUCUGAUAAAGAUGGAAACCGAAAGCAAGCGAAGAGUAAAUUGAGCAGGAGAGUGAAAAGAAGCGAGGCACCUUUAGUUUUGAGGUUGUUGAUCGUCGCCUUCCCAUUCUUAGGUUCAUGGACUAAGCUUUUAUUAACUUAUAGAACUAUAUAUACUUGCACGAAAGUAUUGAUAUUCUAUCCAUGCGCAAAUAAUAUAGAUUAUGCAUGUAUUAGUACUCUAAAACAACGCUUUUAUCUCCGUGAUUCAGUACAAAACUAGCUGCCCACCGUUAUGCGA